rnacentral:tRNA from 1 species
GCGAGAGUGGCGGAAUUGGUAGACGCGCCAGAUUUAGGAUCUGGUAUCUUAACGAUGUGGGAGUUCGAGUCUCCCCUCUCGUACCA